AGUGAACGCUGGCGGUAGGCCUAACACAUGUAAGUCGAACGGCAGCACAGUAAGAUCUUGCUCUUACGGGUGGCGAGUGGCGGACGGGUGAGGAGUACAUCGGAAUCUACUUUUUCGUGGGGGAUAACGUAGGGAAACUUACGCUAAUACCGCAUACGACCUACGGGUGAAAGCAGGGGAUCUUCGGACCUUGCGCGAUUGAAUGAGCCGAUGUCGGAUUAGCUAGUUGGCGGGGUAAAGGCCCACCAAGGCGACGAUCCGUAGCUGGUCUGAGAGGAUGAUCAGCCACACUGGAACUGAGACACGGUCCAGACUCCUACGGGAGGCAGCAGUGGGGAAUAUUGGACAAUGGGCGCAAGCCUGAUCCAGCCAUACCGCGUGGGUGAAGAAGGCCUUCGGGUUGUAAAGCCCUUUUGUUGGGAAAGAAAAGCAGCAGGUUAAUACCCCGCUGUUCUGACGGUACCCAAAGAAUAAGCACCGGCUAACUUCGUG
rnacentral:rRNA from 1 species